rfam:Arabidopsis thaliana chromosome 1, complete sequence.
CUUACAGAGAUCUUUGGCAUUCUGUCCACCUCCUCUCUCUAUAUUUAUGUGUAAUAAGUGUACGUAUCUACGGUGUGUUUCGUAAGAGGAGGUGGGCAUACUGCCAAUAGAGAUCUGUUAG